UCGUACUCGCCUUACUGCUCCAGCUGAACUAAAGGGACGUUGCAUUUUGUUUAAAGAUAUUGCUUUCCUUGACUUUCUGUCAGCAAAACAUUUAGCCCUUCUAGUCUUUCCUCCAGAACUCUCAGUUCGAUUCUGAGUCUGUCAAACCGCAGGCAGACUUGUGAGAAUGUGGGUCUUACUCUAUUCUUAGGCACUAAAGCAAUCUUCAACCGAACUCCUCUUUGGAGGACACGAAACCACGGCCAGUGCAGCCACAUCUCUGAUCACUUACCUGGGGCUCUACCCACAUGUUCUCCAGAAAGUGCGAGAAGAGCUGAAGAGUAAGGGUUUACUUUGCAAGAGCAAUCAAGACAACAAGUUGGACAUGGAAAUUUUGGAACAACUUAAAUACAUCGGGUGUGUUAUUAAGGAGACCCUUCGACUGAAUCCCCCAGUUCCAGGAGGGUUUCGGGUUGCUCUGAAGACUUUUGAAUUAAAUGGAUACCAGAUUCCCAAGGGCUGGAAUGUUAUCUACAGUAUCUGUGAUACUCAUGAUGUGGCAGAGAUCUUCACCAACAAGGAAGAAUUUAAUCCUGACCGAUUCAUGCUGCCUCACCCAGAGGAUGCAUCCAGGUUCAGCUUCAUUCCAUUUGGAGGAGGCCUUAGGAGCUGUGUAGGCAAAGAAUUUGCAAAAAUUCUUCUCAAAAUAUUUACAGUGGAGCUGGCCAGGCAUUGUGACUGGCAGCUUCUAAAUGGACCUCCUACAAUGAAAACCAGUCCCACCGUGUAUCCUGUGGACAAUCUCCCUGCAAGAUUCACCCAUUUCCAUGGGGAAAUCUGAUGAGCUUGAAUGUUC
rnacentral:sRNA from 1 species